GUGGGGAAUAUUGGACAAUGGGCGAAAGCCUGAUCCAGCCAUGCCGCGUGUGUGAAGAAGGUCUUCGGAUUGUAAAGCACUUUAAGUUGGGAGGAAGGGCAGUAAGUUAAUACCUUGCUGUUUUGACGUUACCGACAGAAUAAGCACCGGCUAACUUCGUGCCAGCAGCCGCGGUAAUACGAAGGGUGCAAGCGUUAAUCGGAAUUACUGGGCGUAAAGCGCGCGUAGGUGGUUUUGUAAGUUGGAGAUGAAAUCCCCGGGCUCAACCUGGGAACUGCCUCGCAAACUGCAUGACUAGAGUACAGUAGAGGGUAGUGGAAUUGCCUGUGUAGCGGUGAAAUGCGUAGAUAUAGGAAGGAACACCAGUGGCGAAAGCGACUACCUGGACUGAUACUGACACUGAGGUGCGAAAGCGUGGGGAGCAAACAGGAUUAGAUACCCGAGUAGUCC
rnacentral:rRNA from 1 species